rnacentral:rRNA from 1 species
UAGGGAAUCUUCGGCAAUGGGGGGAACCCUGACCGAGCAACGCCGCGUGAGUGAAGAAGGUUUUCGGAUCGUAAAGCUCUGUUGUUAAGGAAGAACGAGUGUGAGAAUGGAAAGUUCAUACUGUGACGGUACUUAACCAGAAAGGGACGGCUAACUACGUGCCAGCAGCCGCGGUAAUACGUAGGUCCCGAGCGUUGUCCGGAUUUAUUGGGCGUAAAGCGAGCGCAGGCGGUUAGAAAAGUCUGAAGUGAAAGGCAGUGGCUCAACCAUUGUAGGCUUUGGAAACUGUUUAACUUGAGUGCAGAAGGGGAGAGUGGAAUUCCAUGUGUAGCGGUGAAAUGCGUAGAUAUAUGAAGGAACACCGGUGGCGAAAGCGGCUCUCUGGUCUGUAACUGACGCUGAGGCUCGAAAGCGUGGGGAGCGAACAGGAUUAGAUACCCUGGUAGUCCACGCCGUAAACGAUGAGUGCUAGGUGUUAGGUCCUUUCCGGGACUUAGUGCCGCAGCUAACGCAUUAAGCACUCCGCCUGGGGAGUACGACCGCAAGGUUG